GGGGAUUUGGCUCAGUGGUAGAGCACUUGCCUAGCAAGCGCAAGGUCCCUGGGUUCGGUCCCCAGCUCCG
rfam:Rattus norvegicus chromosome 1, whole genome shotgun sequence.